GCCCGCACGGGAAAAUGCAUUUUUCUGUGCGGGCAUCUUAAGAGGACCGCACGGAAAAAUCGAUUUUCGCGUGCAGGC
rnacentral:pre_miRNA from 13 species